rnacentral:rRNA from 1 species
UUAAGCGACUAAGCGUACACGGUGGAUGCCCUGGCAGUCAGAGGCGAUGAAGGACGUGCUAAUCUGCGAUAAGCGUCGGUAAGGUGAUAUGAACCGUUAUAACCGGCGAUUUCCGAAUGGGGAAACCCAGUGUGUUUCGACACACUAUCAUUAACUGAAUCCAUAGGUUAAUGAGGCGAACCGGGGGAACUGAAACAUCUAAGUACCCCGAGGAAAAGAAAUCAACCGAGAUUCCCCCAGUAGCGGCGAGCGAACGGGGAGCAGCCCAGAGCCUGAAUCAGUGUGUGUGUUAGUGGAAGCGUCUGGAAAGGCGCGCGAUACAGGGUGACAGCCCCGUACACAAAAAUGCACAUGCUGUGAGCUCGAUGAGUAGGGCGGGACACGUGGUAUCCUGUCUGAAUAUGGGGGGACCAUCCUCCAAGGCUAAAUACUCCUGACUGACCGAUAGUGAACCAGUACCGUGAGGGAAAGGCGAAAAGAACCCCGGCGAGGGGAGUGAAAAAGAACCUGAAACCGUGUACGUACAAGCAGUGGGAGCACGCUUAGGCGUGUGACUGCGUACCUUUUGUAUAAUGGGUCAGCGACUUAUAUUCUGUAGCAAGGUUAACCGAAUAGGGGAGCCGAAGGGAAACCGAGUCUUAACUGGGCGUUAAGUUGCAGGGUAUAGACCCGAAACCCGGUGAUCUAGCCAUGGGCAGGUUGAAGGUUGGGUAACACUAACUGGAGGACCGAACCGACUAAUGUUGAAAAAUUAGCGGAUGACUUGUGGCUGGGGGUGAAAGGCCAAUCAAACCGGGAGAUAGCUGGUUCUCCCCGAAAGCUAUUUAGGUAGCGCCUCGUGAAUUCAUCUCCGGGGGUAGAGCACUGUUUCGGCAAGGGGGUCAUCCCGACUUACCAACCCGAUGCAAACUGCGAAUACCGGAGAAUGUUAUCACGGGAGACACACGGCGGGUGCUAACGUCCGUCGUGAAGAGGGAAACAACCCAGACCGCCAGCUAAGGUCCCAAAGUCAUGGUUAAGUGGGAAACGAUGUGGGAAGGCCCAGACAGCCAGGAUGUUGGCUUAGAAGCAGCCAUCAUUUAAAGAAAGCGUAAUAGCUCACUGGUCGAGUCGGCCUGCGCGGAAGAUGUAACGGGGCUAAACCAUGCACCGAAGCUGCGGCAGCGACACUAUGUGUUGUUGGGUAGGGGAGCGUUCUGUAAGCCUGUGAAGGUGUACUGUGAGGUAUGCUGGAGGUAUCAGAAGUGCGAAUGCUGACAUAAGUAACGAUAAAGCGGGUGAAAAGCCCGCUCGCCGGAAGACCAAGGGUUCCUGUCCAACGUUAAUCGGGGCAGGGUGAGUCGACCCCUAAGGCGAGGCCGAAAGGCGUAGUCGAUGGGAAACAGGUUAAUAUUCCUGUACUUGGUGUUACUGCGAAGGGGGGACGGAGAAGGCUAUGUUGGCCGGGCGACGGUUGUCCCGGUUUAAGCGUGUAGGCUGGUUUUCCAGGCAAAUCCGGAAAAUCAAGGCUGAGGCGUGAUGACGAGGCACUACGGUGCUGAAGCAACAAAUGCCCUGCUUCCAGGAAAAGCCUCUAAGCAUCAGGUAACAUCAAAUCGUACCCCAAACCGACACAGGUGGUCAGGUAGAGAAUACCAAGGCGCUUGAGAGAACUCGGGUGAAGGAACUAGGCAAAAUGGUGCCGUAACUUCGGGAGAAGGCACGCUGAUAUGUAGGUGAAGCGACUUGCUCGUGGAGCUGAAAUCAGUCGAAGAUACCAGCUGGCUGCAACUGUUUAUUAAAAACACAGCACUGUGCAAACACGAAAGUGGACGUAUACGGUGUGACGCCUGCCCGGUGCCGGAAGGUUAAUUGAUGGGGUCAGCGCAAGCGAAGCUCUUGAUCGAAGCCCCGGUAAACGGCGGCCGUAACUAUAACGGUCCUAAGGUAGCGAAAUUCCUUGUCGGGUAAGUUCCGACCUGCACGAAUGGCGUAAUGAUGGCCAGGCUGUCUCCACCCGAGACUCAGUGAAAUUGAACUCGCUGUGAAGAUGCAGUGUACCCGCGGCAAGACGGAAAGACCCCGUGAACCUUUACUAUAGCUUGACACUGAACAUUGAGCCUUGAUGUGUAGGAUAGGUGGGAGGCUUUGAAGUGUGGACGCCAGUCUGCAUGGAGCCGACCUUGAAAUACCACCCUUUAAUGUUUGAUGUUCUAACGUGGACCCGUGAUCCGGGUUGCGGACAGUGUCUGGUGGGUAGUUUGACUGGGGCGGUCUCCUCCUAAAGAGUAACGGAGGAGCACGAAGGUUGGCUAAUCCUGGUCGGACAUCAGGAGGUUAGUGCAAUGGCAUAAGCCAGCUUGACUGCGAGCGUGACGGCGCGAGCAGGUGCGAAAGCAGGUCAUAGUGAUCCGGUGGUUCUGAAUGGAAGGGCCAUCGCUCAACGGAUAAAAGGUACUCCGGGGAUAACAGGCUGAUACCGCCCAAGAGUUCAUAUCGACGGCGGUGUUUGGCACCUCGAUGUCGGCUCAUCACAUCCUGGGGCUGAAGUAGGUCCCAAGGGUAUGGCUGUUCGCCAUUUAAAGUGGUACGCGAGCUGGGUUUAGAACGUCGUGAGACAGUUCGGUCCCUAUCUGCCGUGGGCGCUGGAGAACUGAGGGGGGCUGCUCCUAGUACGAGAGGACCGGAGUGGACGCAUCACUGGUGUUCGGGUUGUCAUGCCAAUGGCACUGCCCGGUAGCUAAAUGCGGAAGAGAUAAGUGCUGAAAGCAUCUAAGCACGAAACUUGCCCCGAGAUGAGUUCUCCCUGACUCCUUGAGAGUCCUGAAGGAACGUUGAAGACGACGACGUUGAUAGGCCGGGUGUGUAAGCGCAGCGAUGCGUUGAGCUAACCGGUACUAAUGAACCGUGAGGCUUAACCUU